UACAGAGGGUGCAAGCGUUAAUCGGAAUUACUGGGCGUAAAGCGCGCGUAGACGGUUUUGUAAGUCAGAUGUGAAAUCCCCGGGCUCAACCUGGGAACUGCAUUUGAUACUGCCUGGCUAGAGUACGGUAGAGGGAAGUGGAAUUUCCGGUGUAGCGGUGAAAUGCGUAGAUAUCGGAAGGAACACCAGUGGCGAAAGCGACUUCCUGGACCAGUACUGACGUUCAUGUGCGAAAGCGUGGGGAGCAAACAGG
rnacentral:rRNA from 1 species